rnacentral:misc_RNA from 1 species
AACAUCAGAUUUCAAGGAGGUGCUAUGGUAUUGCGGAUCAGUGUCUCAAGUCAAGAACGUGAGCAACAUCCCUAGAGUAUCUAUCUACCUACUCGGCACACUAUGUAUAAGGAUGUAUCUCGAACAACGAGGGUUAAAAUAUAUCGUGAAUUGGAUCACAGUGGAGAAAAAGAUGUAUCCUUGAAGGUAUACCUUGCUCGAUAACAUACCAAUUAAUUUAAACAAGUUCUUUGACAUUUCUCGAGGCACCACAGCAUUACGAUUAGGUGGAGCUUCAGACCGAGUACAAGAGAAUGUAAAUGAUGGGAACUGAACCCAAAGGUGGAAGGAGGACGACCGAAGUAGGAUCGGGAUAUCGCCAACACGGAUUUCAUUCGAAGGAAUACAACGCGGCAAAUUACUGUUACUAUGCGGCCCAUCGAUUGUUUCCGUACGAACCGACUAUCAUGAUCGACUAGGUUUUUCUUUCGAGAUUUCGAGAAAGCAAAAACCGAGUUGGAUGCAAGAAGACGAAAUAAUUUCGAACUUCUUCGUCUGAUAUCUUUUUUGCUAUCAAUUUCUACCUGCCAACUGAACUUCAACAAAACUGCAGGAACAACUGACGCUAAUGCAACCUCGUAGAUCGUUACAGAACAGCUUAAAAUGCAGAUUCGCGUGUUACCAUUAUAAUAUGGCAUGUCGAAGAGCAGCGAGGGCAAAGAUUAACCUUAAAAUUGGAUCCAUG